UCCAUACCUAAAUCCACACAAAUCAAGCCCAUUUCCUUGCCCUAAAAACCAAAACCUACGUCUAUACAGAUACACAAAAAAAUGGAGUUCUGAAAGAAAAAACUGCGCAGCUGAGGAUCUGAAGGACUGACCCCCCUUGUGGUCGUCUUCUUCACAGAGCCCCGCCACCUUUAUUCCAUCCUUAAUCAUCAAAGACCUAAGUAGCAGCCUCUAUCCUCCAAAACACUGGUGAAAUCCCCGCCCAUUCAACAGCCUUCACUGACCAGCAGAUCGAACAAAUACCGUCGAAGCAAAAACAAACAAAGAAAACGGACAUAGAACGAAACAAAGGCAUCGGAGUUCGGACGAACUGUCCAUCCUGGCGACUUAUUCUGACCUCUCUCGUCUUCACUGUGUUUCGAUCUUCAGGGGUAAAAAUAGAGUCCAAUUUUAGGUUCGUGUUGGAGUUUUUUUGAGUUUUCCGGCACUGUCGAGGUUCGGAAUCCCAUUUUGCAGAGACACUGUUUCCGUCGAGGGUUAGUAACUUCUUCGGUCUGGUCUGGGUCGAGUCGAACAACUUUCCUUUAGUAGAUUCGAGGUCAUCUUUGAGGUUCCGGCAAGUCAUUUGGUUUCCCUGUUCUAGGUUCUCAUUUGCUUAAUGAUUUGAGAAUUGUUGCGAUUGUAAGAAUCGAUCUUCUUUCAGAUUACAUGUAACUAUUUGAAUUCUUAAUUCGUUGUUUUGGUUGAAAUCGCUUUACAUGUUCUAAUUGGUUAUUUUCUUAAUACUUCUGUUGGGCCUUGUUUGACGAGCAUUGUCAUUUUAACAUGAUUCUUGUAUGGCUUAAACUUUCUGUGCGUUGUUGAUAUUCUCAAAUUUUUCUUAAUGUCAGAUGAAUAUUAGCUCUAUUUCCACAAGUUGAAGCUUCUGCUUUGAGUUUAAUGUUCCAUUUCAGUUCUUUGUCUAUUGCCAAGUUAUAUGUAUGCGAUAGGUUGGUUAUAUCGGUAAAUAGCAUUCCAGGAGACUAUCAUUGUGAGUAUUUUAAAUGGGCCUAGGUGUGUGCUGGGUUCACUUUCAAGAUUCUGCUCUUUCAAGACUAUUGAGUUGAAAUGGAUGAUUUGUCCGGCUUUAGGAUUGUUUAAAAUAGUUGGAGUGUUAUGAGUGAUUCUAACGGACUAUCUUCCAUUAUUGAGCUUAUAAUUGUAUAAUGUGUUCCAAGCAUGGACUUUAAAGUUAAAAGGGAUGCAUUCACUUCUAAAUUAGCUUCUAUAUUUCAGUCUGCUUUUCUUUUUCCACUCUGUUAGGGUUUCAGGGGGCGCCGCUUUUGCUUUGUUCGAUCUUCACAAGUUUCAGAAUCCCUCCGCGAUUCUGCUUGUCGAAAGCCGGCGACCUGGUAAGGUUUUUUUUCUUCAAAAUUAUUUCAGGCCCCGUUUCAGCUUUGCACUAUUUUGCUUUUAUCUGUUAUUUCAACCAUCGUGUAGAUGUAGACUGCUAUUUUACGCAACAUCCAUUAUCUUUUCUGUCACUUGCUUCCCUUCUUUCUAAAGAUUCUCAAGGUGCUUUUUACCUUGCAUUUUAAGCUCCCGCAGAUCUUAAAAUUAGGUGACACAAAAAUCUUUAGCUCCUUUUCCACUUAUCUAACACCAUUGUUUUUUUAAAGUUAUUUUUAUUUUUUAUUUUUUGUUGAAUGUGAUGUUGGAGCUUUUGGAUAUUGAAAUUUUAC
rnacentral:lncRNA from 1 species